GGGGGGCUCGGAGGAUCAUUA
rnacentral:rRNA from 1 species